AGAAUCAACGCUGGCGGCGUGCCUAACACAUGCAAGUCGAACGAGAAAGUGGAGCAAUCCAUGAGUAAAGUGGCGCACGGGUGAGUAACACGUGACUAACCUACCCUUGAGUGGGGGAUAACUGAGGGAAACCUUAGCUAAUACCGCAUAAUACCUACGGGUCAAAGGAGCAAUUCGCUUAAGGAGGGGGUCGCGGCAGAUUAGCUAGUUGGCGGGGUAAUGGCCCACCAAGGCAGUGAUCUGUAUCCGGCCUGAGAGGGCGCACGGACACACUGGAACUGAAACACGGUCCAGACUCCUACGGGAGGCAGCAGUGGGGAAUUUUGCGCAAUGGGGGAAACCCUGACGCAGCAACGCGCGUGGAGGAUGAAGUCCCUUGGGACGUAAACUCCUUUCGACCGGACGAUAAUGACGGUACCGGAAGAAGAAGCCCGGCUAACUUCGCGCCAGCAGCCGC
rnacentral:rRNA from 1 species